rnacentral:rRNA from 1 species
UACAGAGGUCCCAAGCGUUGUUCGGAUUCACUGGGCGUAAAGGGUGCGUAGGCGGUCGGGUAAGUCUGAUGUGAAAUCUCACAGCUUAACUGUGAAACUGCAUUGGAUACUAUCCGGCUCGAGAAAUGGAGGGGAGACUGGAAUACUUGGUGUAGCAGUGAAAUGCGUAGAUAUCAAGUGGAACACCAGUGGCGAAGGCGAGUCUCUGGACAUUUCCUGACGCUGAGGCACGAAAGCCAGGGGAGCAAACGGG